UUGUCUCUCUAGGCUUAGCCUACAGCACUCAUCAUUACACAGCCAAAAUACAUUAGGCCACAGGGAAUAUCAUGAAUGAAACUGGGGAUGAAUCUGACGUUAGCCACUGCAGCCUUGUGACCUGUGUGUCAAGAGAAGGAGGAGAUGCCCCAGUGAGAAAGCCAGAAGAGGCCUUGACUGGAAACAAAGGCAGGAAGCCCAAGCAGCAGAGAGCGGUGAAACAAACUUUUGUUUUCUAGGAGGAUUGUUCAAGAGGACCCCAAAGGCAAUAUCCACAUGGAAGUUUGGGUGGAGCAGGAGCAUAAGAACAAGGAGUCAAACCACUGAGAGGAGGGCAGUCCUAAUGGACUAUUCUUUACAUCACCCGUCUCCUGAACUCUGCCCUUUCAGAAAUUGAGUGCGACCCCAGAAGAUAAGAAGUGGUCGACCUCUAAAGGUGGAUAGGGUGCCCCGUCCCCUUCUAAACCCAAGCCCCUUUUCCAGGGCCAGGGUGAACCCCGCAGGCAGUGCUCCGGUAGUGCUGUCCUCUUCCCUCCUACAUCCCAGAGGUCUGGUGCGGCGGCAGUGCACCCUGCUUCUGAUAAAUGCAAAGUGAAGGCAAUACCCAAGAAACUAGCAGAGAAAAGUGGACCAAAUAAAGUGAAUCCCAACCUGGGCAAUAUCAUGAGCUUUGUCCCACGACUAAACUCUCAAAACCAUCCAGGG
ensembl:lncRNA